rnacentral:rRNA from 1 species
AACGUAGGAGACAAACGUUAUCCGGAGUUACUGGGCGUAAAGGGCGUGUAGGUGGUUUCGUAAGUCUGGCGUGAAAUAUCUCGGCUUAACCGAGGCAGGUCGUCGGAUACUGCGGGACUAGAGGACGGUAGAGGCGUGUGGAAUUCCGGGUGUAGUGGUGAAAUGCGUAGAUAUCGAGAGGAACACCAGUGGCGAAGGCGAGUCCCUGGACAGAUCCUGACGCUGAGGCACGAAAGCUAGGGGAGCAAACAGG